CCCCUCUCAGGAUUGCAUCUAGAGAGUUUCCAGUAUACUACCAGUAUUGAUUAUGAGAGGGAGAGUCAAGCAGAGGCAUAGCCAUUCCAUUCCUAGUUUGAACAGUGGUUAGAGAGUGGAAGACAACCUGCUACAAGU